CAGGUUUGUAAUGAUGGUUAAGUUACUUUACAACAAUAGUACCAUAAGAUUUGUUUCACUUUUUGGGGAAUUAAUGUUUUUUGUUCAGUAUAUAUGCUGAUAUGAGUAAUGAUCGCAGUGAAACAGAUACUAUACGAUAACUGAGGAAUGUAUACAAGAAUUAGGCUGUAAGAAGCUGGUAUCAUAUCAAUUUGAUCAUAGAUUAUGAAUAUGAAAGCUAAUUUGUAGUUUACAUUUACCAGGUUGGGAAAAAUAUUUCAAGCUUAUCUUACUCAAACUAUUUAUAAGUAAUACUCAUAUCAGACUAUACAUUUUAGCCUAAUAUUACAAUGUAUAUUAUUUAUUAGAUAACAUUAGCUGGCGCACUGGAUUUUUCAUUUGAGACUGGUUUUGGGGGAAGCUUUGAUUCACACUUUUAUAUUCGUUAGUCAUUCAAAUGGUUUGAGUGGAGAUUUAAGUAUAUAUUUGUUUUUGAGAUUGUUCUGCAAUGUUUUACGGUUGUGACAAAGCUAGAAAUACUUAUUAAUAUUCCUUAUAUUUUUAUAUCCACCUGAAGCAUGCAUAACAUAUUUGUAUUAUAUUCUUGUGAUGAUUACUACUACAUACAUAAUUGGAUCUGCUUUCAGGGAUUGUUUAAAUUGAUAAUGAAAACAGGAAUCAAGCGAAAAAGUUUUUCCGAGAAGAACUAUAUUCCGAACGAGAUUCCACUACAAAGAUUAAAUACUAAAAUAGAUGGAAUAGUAUAAUGGUGCUCACGUCGUAACGACAUGCAAACAGUUGUCGCAGUUUCCAUGUUAUUGAUUUUGCUUCUCCAAAACAUCGCGUACAUAAAACAAUAGAAUGACGUGGAAUUGGCAAGUGUGGUAUUAUGAUUGCUCGAAGAUUUAUUCAGAUUCUACGUACCUCAAUCUUGGAGAGAAGAAAUUAUAUCAUGGUGUCUGCUAUGAUGACAACAAUACGGACUCUAUAUAAUUUUGGUUUUAUAUUGUGUAGGAGAU